rnacentral:rRNA from 1 species
UGGAGAUGGGCGGGAGCCUGAUCCAGCCAUGCCGCGUGCAGGAUGACGGCCCUAUGGGUUGUAAACUGCUUUUAUACGGGAAGAAACGCACCUACGUGUAGGUGUCUGACGGUACCGUAAGAAUAAGGACCGGCUAACUCCGUGCCAGCAGCCGCGGUAAUACGGAGGGUCCGAGCGUUAUCCGGAAUCAUUGGGUUUAAAGGGUCCGUAGGCGGGCCUGUAAGUCAGGGGUGAAAGUUUGUGGCUCAACCAUAAAAUUGCCUUUGAUACUGCAGGUCUUGAGUCAUGGUGGGGUCGCCGGAACAUGUGGUGUAGCGGUGAAAUGCAUAGAUAUCACAUAGAACACCGAUCGCGAAGGCAGGUGGCCAACCAUGUACUGACGCUGAUGGACGAAAGCGUGGGUAGCGAACGGGAUUAGAUACCCCGGUAGUCCACGCCGUAAACGAUGGAUACUAGCUGUGGGGACUUCGGUCUCCGUGGCCAAGCGAAAGUGAUAAGUAUCCCACCUGGGGAGUACGUUCGCAAGAAUGAAC